rnacentral:rRNA from 1 species
GACGAACCUUGCUAACGUUAUUCGGAAUUACUGGGCUUAAAGGGUGCGUAGGCUGUGCGGAAAGUUGGGUGUGAAAUACCUCGGCUUAACCGAGGAAUUGCGCCCAAUACUACCGUGCUUGAGUGAGACAGAGGUGAGCGGAACUUAGGGUGGAGCGGUGAAAUGCGUUGAUAUCCUAAGGAACACCGGUGGCGAAAGCGGCUCACUGGGUCUUGUCUGACGCUGAGGCACGAAAGCCAGGGGAGCAAACGGG